rnacentral:lncRNA from 1 species
GUUACAAGAGGCAUUAUUGGAAACUAAUGCCAAUGAAAUAAUGGACCAUUUCCAAAAGGUAAACACCAAUUACUAACAUCCUCUAGCAUUAAUUUUUUCGAAGCACCAAAAUACAAUAGUAAAAUGCAUUUUAUCUAUCACAGAACCCAGAUGGAGAGCUGAACAAUGUUAUGAAAACCAGUAGUGAAAGAGAGUUGCCAUUCUAUAUAAAAGUGACACAAAAAAAAAACAAAAUCCACCCGAUUACCGCUAUGAAUUCAUCUUCGUCUUCAACUCUCUACCCACCAUCACUGAUGUAAAUUCCUCACCCGCAACCAUUGAAAUAGAUCCUUCAAAUGCUAUAAGUGAUGUCAAGAAUGCAACUGAGAUGAACAAGAGUUCAGAUAAGAAAAACACAAAAGGGAAAAACAAAGUAUGUAACACUGACACUGAAGUUCUUAAAUACAUCGAAGUAACGAUUGCAAUCUUUGCAAAGAGGCCUCUCCUCCAAGCACUAGAUGAAACUAGUGAAACAGACUCGAAGUCAAAAAAGAAGAGUAACACAACCUUUGAAUCUGAUCACUAGACCAAUGUCCUUGACUUGGAAGAAAAAGCCAGUCAUAAAAUAAUUACAAUAGUUUUGUGACAAUAGGCAGUUAUAUAUAAUAUCCCUAAGGCUACUUUAUCUGCCUAUGUGUAG